UGAGUAACACGUGGUAACCUACCUAUAAGACUGGAUAACUUCGGGAAACCGGAGCUAAUACCGGAUAAUAUUUCGAACCGCAUGGUUCGAUAGUGAAAGGUGGUUUUGCUAUCACUUAUAGAUGGACCCGCGCCGUAUUAGCUAGUUGGUAAGGUAACGGCUUACCAAGGCGACGAUACGUAGCCGACCUGAGAGGGUGAUCGGCCACACUGGAACUGAGACACGGUCCAGACUCCUACGGGAGGCAGCAGCA
rnacentral:rRNA from 1 species